GGUUAGGUUAGGGGUAGAGUAGGUUAGGUUAGGUUAGGUUAGGGGUAGAGUAGGUUAGGGUAAGUUAGGUUGGGUUUGGUUAAGUUAGGUUAGGGUAAGUCAGGUUGGGUUUGGUUAAGUUAGGUUAUUAAAUUAGGAUAAGUUAGGUUAAGUUAGGUUAAGUUAGGAUAAGUUGAGUUAAGUUAGGUCAUUGGAUUAGGGGUUUGGCAUGGAGAUGAAGAAAGGUGAUUGUAGGGUGAGUAGGUUAGCUUAAGUUUGGUUUAGAAUAAAGACAAAUGAAAGGAGAG